ACCUGGCUGGCUCAGUUGGAAGAGCAUGCGACUCUUGAUCUCAGGGUUGUGAGCUUGAGUCCCACGCUGGGCG
rnacentral:tRNA from 1 species